UGCAAGUCGAACGCGAAAGGGGCUUCGGCCCUGAGUAGAGUGGCGAACGGGUGAGUAACACGUGGGUGACCUACCUUCGAGUGGGGGAUAACGUUCCGAAAGGAACGCUAAUACCGCAUGACGUUCCGGGUUUGAACACCUGGAAACCAAAGCCGGGGACCGCAAGGCCUGGCGCUAGAAGAGGGGCCCGCGCCUGAUUAGCUAGUUGGUGAGGUAACGGCUCACCAAGGCGGCGAUCAGUAGCCGGCCUGAGAGGGCGGACGGCCACACUGGGACCGAGACACGGCCCAGACUCCUACGGGAGGCAGCAGUGGGGAAUUGUUCGCAAUGGGCGCAAGCCUGACGACGCAACGCCGCGUGGAGGAUGAAGGUCUUCGGAUUGUAAACUCCUGUUGAUCGGGAAGAACGGGCUCCGGGUGAAUAUCCUGGAGCAGUGACGGUACCGAUUGAGGAAGCCACGGCUAACUCUGUGCCAGCAGCCGCGGUAAUACAGAGGUGGCAAGCGUUGUUCGGAAUUACUGGGCGUAAAGGGCGCGUAGGUGGCCUUUUGAGUCAGACGUGAAAUCCCCCGGCUUAACCUGGGAACUGCGUCUGAUACUGGAAGGCUUGAGUUCGGGAGAGGGAUGUGGAAUUCCAGGUGUAGCGGUGAAAUGCGUAGAUAUCUGGAGGAACACCGGUGGCGAAGGCGGCAUCCUGGACCGAAACUGACACUGAGGCGCGAAAGCCAGGGGAGCAAACGGGAUUAGAUACCCCGGUAGUCCUGGCCCUAAACGAUGAGUGCUUGGUGUGGCGGGUAUCGAUCCCUGCCGUGCCGAAGCUAACGCAUUAAGCACUCCGCCUGGGGAGUACGGUCGCAAGGCUG
rnacentral:rRNA from 1 species